UCUUAUCUCCCUGUUGUAUGUAAAGGUCGGCAUUCAGAAAUGAGGACACUGCUUUCUGUAGCAUUUCAAUGUGAUAAUCAGGCCUAUUUUCUGUGUCUGUUUCAGAGGGCUAUCAAAGAUCCUUGGGUAUGUUAUUUCCCAUUGCUCUUCCAAUCCUUUUUUAUUUCCAUUGAGGUUAAUAGUCCAAAUCUGCACUGCUUUGCACCUUGUGUAGUUAUUUACACCUGUGUAAAGUAGAUGCAAAACAGCACUGUUCUGAUUAGGUAACAAUUUUACAACCACUUUUAUCAAGUGAGGAAUUAAAUCAAAACUUCUGUUUAAACGAUGAUUGUUUUUAAGGUUGUCUUGGGAUGGGAAUCCCAUCAGCUCUUUUCCUGAGUUCUGUAAAUUUUUUUUAUAAAAUAAUUUUGAUCAACAUGUAAGUACCAUGCUGUAUGCUGACAGGGCAUUAAUAUGUGCUUUUUAUAUUUGCACGCUUGAAUAGAUUGGGCUUGCAGGAAGUGGUUAGUACUUCUAAAACACACUUUCAUUUAGUUGUUACCACAAUAUGUUGUCUACUUCAUCCCUUCUAUUGCCAUGUUCUUGCUGCAAAAUGCAAACUGGAUUCUCUCAUUUUUUCCCCCCCUCUGCAAAUACACUGAUUGUCUCCUUAAAGUAGGAAUGUUGCUGUCCAGAAUACAUUUGUUUUUGCUAGAAGACCACAAUCUCAGUGCCUGAUAGUGAAGGCUUUAAUGUUACACACAUUGUGCCCAUAAAAUAGUCUGAUAUAAUGUUUUUAUUAUUGGAUAACUGGGAGGUUUCUAAAUAGUG